GCAAACUUGGUCAUUUAGAGGAAGUAAAAGUCGUAACAAGGUUUCCGUAGGUGAACCUGCGGAAGGAUCAUUAUCAGUGAGCCUGAUUCUCAUCAGGACUACACCUCUUACCACCAAAGAAGCACUCGGGCCUUUACGGUCAGUGGAUUUCUUUGGAAGUGUAAUGCGUCCACCCAUUGUGAAACUUAAUUUAUGCUUCGGCAGCACUCUUAGUGCUUUAAAACCGCUAGAGGGGUAAGGCUGUCAGAAGCCCACUAUCAAACUAGUUGAUGAAAUGUCAUGCAGUCUGAUAACUACUAUUUGAGAAAUCAAAUUACGUUAAAACUUUCAGCAACGGAUCUCUUGGUUCUCGCAUCGAUGAAGAACGCAGC
rnacentral:misc_RNA from 1 species